UCUAGGUUUCUUUAUUUUUCUUUUGCACUUUUUCAUUUUUAUUUUUUGUCUUUUUGAGACAGGGUCUCGCUAUGCAAUUCAGGCUGGCCUUGAACUCACUUUGUAGCCCAGGCUGGUCUCGAACUCCCAGCAAUCCUCCUGCCUCUGCCUCCCAAGUGCUGGGAUUACAGGCGUAUGCUACAUGGCUCCCAGUUCUCUUCCAGCACAUCGGCUUCAGUAUGUACGGAUGUUAUGAAAAUGUAUAUAUGGUAAAUAUUCUCUCACUUAACGAGUGGCUGCUUUUUUUUGAGGCAGGUUGUCUCUCACUAUGUAGUUCAGGCUGAUGCUAACCAUAUGGCAAUCCUCCUGCCUCAGCCUCCCGAGUACCGGCACUGUAGGCCUGUACCACCACGCUUGGAUUCAUGAGAGGCUUCAUGUGCUGUCACGGCUGCCUCCAGUCCCUGGACUGAUUCAAAAUGUUGACCUUUCAUGGUCAGUUUAACUUUGGGGCAGAGCCAGAAGUCACAUGGUGUCAGAUCCAGUGAAUAAUGUGGACAAGGGCACAGUGUCCUGUUAAUUUGACAGAAAUUGCCAUAAACAUUUGCUCAACAAGGGGCCGUCAUAAACUACUGUUAAUGUUAUUAAAAUUUGUAUUACAGCCGGGCAGGGAUGCAUGCCUGUCAUCCCAGCACUUGGGAGGCUGAGGCCAGAGGAUCGUUGCAAGUUCGAGACCUCUCGGCUACAGAGUGAGCUCAAAUCCAGCCUGAACUGCAUAGUGAGACCGUGUUUCAAAAAGACCAAAAAAAAAAAAAAGUUACAAUAAAAGCCACAUUGCUAUUAAUUCUCCUCAAGUGCUCCUGAUCACUUUGAACACAUUUACCUCAUCAUUCUUGGGAAUGUGCCUUUACUGCGAUGAGUUUUUAAAAUCAAGCCCUCACGGUAUCUUCCCACCAUCCUUCCCCUGUGUAUCGCAGCCUCCCUGGCCUGAGCAGGCACCCCCAGUUGCUUUGCUCAGCUUCAUACUCUAAAAUCUUUGCGAGGAGUGCCAUCUAUUGGUCGGAGCUUCUCAUUCAUUAGAAGCAUCCUGGGUUCCCGCGGCGGCCAAAGCUCCUCUGCGGCUGGAAAUUGGCAGGCUUUGCAGAAGCCUCCCGACUGUGCAUUCCCUCUGGGAAGUCACUGUGCCUCUGGGGAGCUCCCCGGGGAUGCGCGUGUGUGCGGUGUCUUGGCUGUGUGCGGUGUCUUGGCUGUGUGCUUAUUUACUCCAGCUUCAAAGGCCAAGGACAGGGGGCUGGGGAUUUAGCUCAGUGGCAUAAGCACCUGCCUUGCAAGCAGGCGGUCAUGAGUUCAAUCCCCGGUACCGAUAAAAAUGAAAAAGACAAAAAAAAAAAAAAUAAAUAAAGGCCAAGGACAGAUGCUGGAAAUGAACGAGCUGUCCAGCAGACCUGCUCUGGUAAGUGCCGCUCAGCCCACAGGGUGCACGUAGCCCCGCCAAGUCGUGCCUUGGAAGUCUGCUUGGCAGUGCACGCUGCUCUGUGCGUGGAAGUCUGGGAAAGCCGUGUUUUGGAGCAUGUGUCCCUCGGGGCUCGUGUAGUGAGGCUGGCCACCUCUUCUGGGGGAGAUGUUUUCCCAGGCUGUGGUGUCAGGAGUGGCAGACGCAGCUCCUUGGGGAGCCCCUGGAGCCACGGGGUGUGUUCUGGGGCAGCACACAGACAGGCACAGGCCGUUUCUGCCUGCAUCCGUGCCGUCUAGCGUUACACUGCCAGAUGUUUUCCAGAUUCUUGUUUUGUUUGGCUUUUUGAGACAGGGUCAGUUCGGGCUGGCCUUGAACUCACUAUGUAGCCCAGGCUGGCCUCAAACUUACAGCAGUCCUCCUGCCUCAGCCUCCCGAGUGCUGGGAUUGCAGGCGUGCACCGCCUGGCCAGGCCUCCUUACACUUCUGGUUGUUCUCAGCAGGCAUAUUUGUUUUCUGCUGAUCUCUCUAAACCCCCUCACAGGUCCCAAAGUUGAAGAAACCCUACCAAGCAGCAGAUAAGGGCUAUGUCUCCUUGUCCACGCUCGGCCUUGGCUUCUGCUGCUUGUGGGGAGAGAGGACUCCGUCGCCCACUUUGCUCCCUCUUCUGACGUGGGUAGUUUGGGCCUGGGGACAGAGAAGUUUGGUCUCCUUACCCGGGGCCUCGGGCAUGCUAGGCGAGUGCCUUUCCACUGACCUACACCCAGCCCUUUUUAUUUUUAAAAUUUUGAGUCAACUUCUCAGCAAACCAUCUGGCCUGGCCUUAAAUUUACAACCCUCCUGUCUCAGCCUCCCAGGUAGCUGGCAUCCCAGGUGUGGGCCAUCACACCUGGCAUCCACAUCCUUUCAUCAGCAGGAGUGGGUUCGAUGACCACCUUCUGGGGUUGUAGUCUUUACUAGGCACAUUUGGGGUGCAGUGAUGUAUGGCUUCUAUAGCUUGGGGCCUGAGCAGAAUGAAAGCAUGGUGUGAGUUCCGGCUUGCGGAGGUGGCUCGCUGAGCGGGGCUCCCUGCGUCUGUGGGGUGUCCACUGCUCCCGGUGCCCUUGUCUGGGAGUCCCGCCCUGAGCCCUGCAGAGUGGCCCAGGCUCCAGGAGGCCCGCUUCUGCCUCAGCUUUCUCUUCUGAGAAGCCAGUACCUCCUGCUUGCGGGUGCAGCUGGGGCCUCUGUGGUGGGGAGUCUGUGUCACAGCCAGCACCGCCUGCCACACACACCUCCCUCCGUCCCCCGCCCCUCCAGCUAUCUGCCCAGCACGUGCCCAGGCACCCCUGGGUGGUAGCGCCCGCCUAUCUCCAGCCACAGCGAACCAUCCUCCUGCCAGGGCUCAGCUGUGAAUUCAGGGCUUCUCCGGGGGCGGGCAGUUACCCCCAGGGCUGAUGGACAAGCCAAGAAUGGCCCAGGGUCUUUAGUCCUUCCCCGAUGGUGCCCCCGGGGCCUUUCUGCGGCUUGUGGCUCGGACCCGUCUGAGAAGUGGCUCCUGCCUCCCGCCACUGUCACAGGUUGAAUGUUAUCCCUCAAAGUGGCAGGCGGAGGCCCUCAUCCCUUGUGUCUACUGCACAUGCAGGUCGGGAGAGGAUACCCUGGGGUAGGACAGGCCUGGAGCCAGUGACCAGUGCCCCUGAGGAUGGCCACCUGCAGACAGACUCACAGAGGCUGUGUGAUGGCAGCCUCAGUUGCACGCCGAGGCAUGCCGAGGACCCUGGCGGCCACGGGGGCAGGGACAGCAAGGUGGUCAGUCCUGUGGCCACACCGUGCUUGGUCCUAAUUGAAGGGAUCUGAGCAGAGUCAGAGACAUGUCAAAGGAGACCCCUUCCCUCUACCUGUGUUCUGCCUCCCACCCACGGCCUUCGCCACUGCCAGCUCGGCCAGUCGGCCCGUGGCUGUGGGCCCAGCACCUGCCUUGCCCUCAGCCCGUGGACUUCAGUCACGGGGGCCCAGCUCCAGACUGGCCUUGCCUCUCUCACCUACCAUCACAUCUCCUGCCGUGCCGCCUGGGCCACGCCGAGCUCCUAACUCACCCUGUGCACAUCUCAGCCCAGAUGCCAACACCUCAGCGAGGCCGCCCUGCCCCCUCCUGGGCUCAGCUGGGUCCCCCACUGUCCCCACCCCUGCAGCGCACACCUGCUUGCAUGUGACUUCCCCUGGGGGCUGCUGGGGGCCCCCUGGCGUUCACCUGGAGCUGCCACAUGCAGGACCCCUUCCUGGGCAAGGACCUGGGUGGGACACCUGGAUUUGACGCCCCACCCCUGAUCUGGGCUCCUGUGUCAGGUGUGCAGGUGGCUCCCCCAGGUGGCACCGAAGGAGUGCUGCUUGUCUUCUGGUCCGAUGAGAAGCCUCAGUUCUAGAGGAAACAUCGUGGUCAAAUCGAGGUUUCUUGGAGCUCCCCUGUUGUAGUCAGGGUUGUGAGGAGAGCUGCAGUCAGGACACAGAAUUAUUUUAUGGGGGUCAUCCAGAGUUAAACACAAGAAGGUGCAGGAAAUCUGUGCACAACAUGAAGGGCCCAGAAUAUUCAGCCAAGGGCUUGGAUCCCACAGCAAUGUCCUGCAUGAGUCCAGCUGAAGACCAGAGCCUAUGACAGUGCCGCCCACAAGAAGGACUCACACCAGUCUGUUUAUGGAUCCAUGCUGGGAAGGCCCAGAGGUCAGCAGUGGAAGCCAGAAAGUCCAUGCCAGCAGGGUUAAAGAGCUGUGCUGUAGGUUAAGGGUUCUACACUGGAGCCGGGAAGCAAUGCUCAGCAUAAGGCCCAGGGCUGCCCUGAAAAGCACCACAGCCAUCCCCGGGGACACGGAGGUCCCGAGCUCCUCUGAUGACGAGAACGGCUGAGUACAUGCCAGGAAGCCAGUGUGACGAGCUUCUCUGGAGAUGAAACAGCACACGUCUUCCCGUCCAGAGCCCGGAAGUGAUGGUCAGUGUGAGGACCAGAGCUGCCCCAAAGUGAACCACAGCCAUUCUCACCAAAGUUCCAAACUCCUCCAGUGACAAUGGUGGAACUCACACUGGGGAAGCCAGCAUGACGAGUGCCUCCAGUAGAACCAAUGGCUCAGGGGCUGGGGAUUUUUAGCUCAGCGGCAUAAGCACCUGCCUUGCAAGCAGGCAGUUGUGAAUUCGAUCCCUGGUACUGAAAAAAAAAAAAGAACCAACGGCUCAAACAGCCACACUUAGAGAAACCCACAACGCACCCCUCUUCCUCUCUGGGUCUUUUUUAUGCUGGCAGCUUUCAUCAGCUGGGCCAUCUAUGCUCAGCACCAUGCUGAUUUAAUUCAGCUGGUGUUAAACUGACCACCAGUUGUAAUCCACAGCACCUACCCCGGCCCAGGCCCAGUCCCGGGAAGGUGAUUUGCCUGCGACUCGGAGAGGCCUCGGGGAAGGGACUGAGCCAGAGGUGAGGGGAGUCAGGCUGCCCCAGGGAUCCUGCAGAUGCGGUGGUUUUGGGGUGCUGCCAGCAGGCCUCUCAGAUGCCUGGCCACAGUGGGUAUGGGCUAAGGGGACCCCGUGGGGCCUCCCUGAGUCCAGCUUGCUCUGGGCGGCCAGAGGAGCUGUUUCCUGUGAAGACACCCAGUGGGGCCCAGCAGGUGAAAGCCCGACUACUUCCUCAGGGAGACGCUGGGGUCAGGUGCGCCCAGGAGGGGACCCCGCGUGCUGGGCAGCACGGUGGUGGUGGUGCCCCUGCUCGGUGCUCGGGCCAGGUGGGUGGGGACGCCGCCUGCGACCUGCUGGGCAGCGGGCGGAGCGGAACCGGGCUGUGCUGGCGGCAGCAGGCGAGGGUGUGUUCUCACACGCGCACGUCCUCGGUCCUUGUGUUUUCACAAAGCGAGAAAAAACAUAAAAGCCAGGCAGGAAGCCUGGGACUUUAAAAGCAGAGCCAGAAGUUGUGGGACACAAUGGGCAGGGGAGGCUGCCGUGUUUGUUUGCAGUGGGCGCUUUGAGGGCCAGGCUGCUUCCCGGGGUGUGUCGUGUGUCUCAGCUCCGAUGCCAGCAUUAAAAAUAGUGACAGAGGACAUUUUCAGAAGACAAAGGACAUCCUGGGGAGAGCGGGGCCCACGGGCGGUGCUCGGCCUUGCUUCUCUGGCCUGAGGUCCCCAGGAAUGGGGCUCCCCUGCACGCACCCCGCCUGCAGUCCUGUCCUGGUGUCCUCACCCUGCAGGCUGUGCAUGCAGCCUUCUCCGGCGCACAGUUCGGGCACACUCCACGCAGUCUCCAUAUUGUUUCUGAAUGUACAGUUGUACCAGUCGGAGGGGCAGGAGCCCAAUGCUGCUGGGCCUGCUGCCUGGGAGUGUGAGCCUCAGUUUCCCCGUAGAAGGAGGAGGGCUUCGGUGAACUCACAAAGACCUGGUCACAGCAGCCAAGGGGUAGCGGGGCUCCUGUGCCCGCCGUGCCUCCCUGUCCCUGGCAGCUGUGACUGCGUUCUGACAGGCUUUGGGUGCAGGGCUUCCCCGGAGGACGUGGCCUGUGGGCACCGAGUGUCACGGCAUGGCAGGAAGAUGCUCUGCUCUGCACCUGGGAGACGUGGGGCCGGAGGCGCAGGACGGCAUUGGUCUCAGUGCAGCCUGCAGCACUCCUAAGUCCUUGGCCGUCAGAGGGGAGCCCGCAGGGAGCCCAACAGGGGCACCAGGCUUCCCCUGAGUCCUCGGAUCCCAGGCCAGGCUCCCUAAUGCUGUUAAACAUUUUGCUGGGGACACAGCACAGCACGGGCCUCUGCGGAGAGCAGGCUUCUGGUCACCCCGCUGCAGGUGCGUGUCACGAUGCUCAGGCGAGGAUCAGGCCAGCCGCUGAGUGACUCCAGCGACACCCUGGAUUCCCUCCUCUGCCCUGUCUUCCUGCAGCCCCUCGCCUCCUGUGCACUGGUGCCUCCUGUCCCCAUGGCCUCACCAGUUCCCGCACUUGUCCCAGGAGGUGACAGUCCUCGUGGUGCUAGGACCCUCGCAGUGGGCAAGGGUGAGGAAGCAGGUCCCCUGAGCCCGGAGGAGCUGUCCACUGACACUCCGACCUCAGCGUGGUGAGAAAAAUCUCAGACUUCUGCGAGUGCAUCUGUCAGAAACCACUGAGCAUGGGCCUGUGACCAAGCCCUCAUCACCAGAGACACAAGCGGGUGAAUUUCCCAAAUGGCCAGGACUUGGGGUCCCAGCUGAAGCUAGGAGUAGCUCCUCCCUGCCCAUCUGUGGGGCAGAGCCAUCUGUCUGUCCAGUGCUCUUUGGUCAGCUACAGCCACAUGGCAUCAGCUGUUGCCCGGGCACAGGACCAGUUCCACGGCCUUCCUCACCCGCUGCCCCUCCAGCAGGGGCUAUUUCUGCGCUCCCCACCAGGCUCCCUGGCUGUGGGCUGCUGACCCCACAGGGAGUCCUGGCCCUGGGGGAGAAGGCUGCAGCCCUGCCAGGCAAACCCACCGGGGUGCACAGGUGUGCAUUACUUCUGGGUGCUGUCUGCGGACUUGGUGAGAAUGUGCUGUCCAUCUCCCCCGGUGAAGGAGCACGUGUGCUGGGCCUGGGAGACAGCACGGUGUCCCCUUGACUUCCAGAUGUGGGAAUCCAAACAUGGGACAUCCCCAGACAGCACCAUGAGGGGCUGUGCGUCUCCCCCUGGGGAGGGCAUGCGCUGCUGCAGGGAAACAGAGUGGCUGUGUGGGUUGGGAGGGGUGGAUGUGGAUGCUGUAUAUUUUCUUUUUUUUUUGUCUUUUUUGUUUUUAUCCGUACCAGGGAUCGAACUCAUGACUGCCUGCUUGCAGGGCAGGCGCUUAUGCCGCUGAGCUAAAUCCCCAGCCCCUGUAUAUUUUCUGAUUAGGUAAGAUGAGCCAAAAGGGCACCUGCUGGGCUGGACGGACGAUCCCUGGCCAAUGGCAGACCUGAGCCAGGCUCACGCGACAGGGCCGGGCCCGGGGCCCCUCUGCUUCACGCUGGGACCUCGGGGGGCCCUCCUGUGGUGGAAUGGGACUCCCACGUGUUCACAAAAUACGUAUUUAGGUGGGUGCAGAACACUCUUUGCCCCAAGGUGGGGUGGUGGUUUAUACGGGGAGGCCGGGGAGGUCCUUCCAGCAGGGGCGCGUGGCAGGGACCGAGAGAGAAGCCCUGGUGGUGCAGGGCGUGUGCCGGGCUGCGAGCCAGGGCUAGUCUUUGCAGAGGUCCCAAGGCACUAACUCCGCGCCUGCCCCAGGACAGGAGUCAGUGUGGCAGGAGAGGGAAUGCACCCACUGAGAGGGUCCCCAGCACGGGCCUCCAGUGAGACGCUGAGGCCCGAGUCUGUCAGCUGGGCCAGGAACUGGCAUCCGAGGAUGCGUGGGGGAUGUGGGUGCUGCUUCCCGUCCUUCGGGGCCCUCUCACCUCACACCAUCCCUGCCUAGUGCCAGGGGUCUCCAGUUAGGGGCCGUGGCCUGCAGUGACUCAGCUCCAAGGACAGCGUCCAGAUCCUGCACCUUGCGUGACAGAGGGCAUUAACUCAGGGGUAUCCGGACAGGGAGCUCGUCCUGGGAAGUGCAGGGUCCUGUACCAGAGCUGCAGCAGGCCAGGCGAGGAGCCGUGACACACAGCGGAGGUCAGUGACAGCUGAGGUUGGGCUGCAGGAAGGACAGCUCACAGGGAAGGUGGCUGCCCCACAGCUCCGGUGUCGACCGUCUCACCACAGCCCUCCCCGUGGACAGAGUCCGUCCUCACCCUGAGCCACCAGGCCAGGAUGCGAGGAUGCAGCGGUGGCCUGGGGCACAGGUGCCAGCGAGGGAGUCAGAGGGACUGGAUGUGGAGACCGACCGGGGGCCGUGCUUGCCCUUGCCACGUCCACGCUGCCCGCUCACGCGGUCUCGGGGGUGUCAGGACCACGCUUGUGCUUCAACGCCUGGAAGGAUGCGCGCACCUCCCGGUUCAUCAGAGGCUGAAGCCCGCGGAAGUUGUCCACCAUCGCCACCUCCUCUUCACCCACGGCAGAGAACAGCAGUGUGCGGAAGGCGGCCAGCUGGAAAAGUGGCCAGAGUGACCACAGUGCAGGUGUCCCCAGCUCCUUGUGCCUGAGCCUGCAGUGAAUCUGGGUGACCCCCAGAUUCCACUGGGGUGCUUAGGGCCACUUGCUUGGGGGAAGCCAUGGGAGGGUCCAGCAGCCCUCGGCCCUCCCAGUUCACCACCACUGAGGCCAGAGAGCAUACAUGAGUGUUGUUUUCUUAAUAACUCGAUGAAGAGCUUUGGGGCUAUUUGUUACACAGCAACUGGUUACUAAUACAGUCUGUGCUCCAUAGCCAUGGUUCUGUGUCUUCAGAGUCAACCAGUCACAGAUGGGAAAUAUUCUGCUCCCAAAACUCUGUCUUUGCUAAAUGCACACAGACUUGUUUUCAGAUCAUUGUUCCCUAAGCAGUGUAACAACCAUUUACGUGAAGUCUUUACUGUACCAGGUAUUAAAAGUCAUCUAGAGAUGAUUUAAAGUAUCUGGGAAGAUGUUCGUGGGUUAAAUAUAAAUAUCACUCCGUU